AAGUCGUAACAAGGUUUCCGUAGGUGAACCUGCGGAAGGAUCAUUAGUGAAAACAGGAGUGCCCUUAAUUGGGACUCCGAUCCAUUUCAAACCCAAGUGAACUGUCCUUUUUUUAAACUCAGUUGUAAAUGGUUCCGUAUGUGUUGGUUCAUAAUAAAAUACAACUUUCAGCAACGGAUCUCUUGGCUCUC
rnacentral:misc_RNA from 1 species